GAUCCUGGCUCAGAUUGAACGCUGGCGGCAGGCCUAACACAUGCAAGUCGAACGGUAACAGGAAACAGCUUUGCUGUUUCGCUGACGAGUGGCGGACGGGUGAGUAAUGUCUGGGAAACUGCCUGAUGGAGGGGGAUAACUACUGGAAACGGUAGCUAAUACCGCAUAAUGUCGCAAGACCAAAGAGGGGGACCUUCGGGCCUCUUGCCAUUCGGAUGUGCCAGAUGGGAUUAGCUAGUAGG
rnacentral:rRNA from 1 species